rnacentral:rRNA from 1 species
CAGCCGCCGCGGGAAUACGAGGGGGGCAAGCGUUGUUCGGAAUUAUUGGGCGUAAAGCGUGCGUAGGCGGUUCGUUAAGUCUGUUGUGAAAGCCCCGGGCUCAACCUGGGAAUGGCAAUGGAUACUGGCGAGCUAGAGUGUGUCAGAGGAUGGUGGAAUUCCCGGUGUAGCGGUGAAAUGCGUAGAGAUCGGGAGGAACAUCAGUGGCGAAGGCGGCCAUCUGGGACAACACUGACGCUGAGGCACGAAAGCGUGGGGAGCAAACAGGAUUAGAGACCCCUGUAGUCCCUGUCUCUUAUAC